GUUCCAGUGGUCUAGUGGUUAGAGCAUCUACCUUGGAUGCAGGAGGUCGCUGGUUCAAACCCCUGCUAAAACU